CAUGAAGUAGAUAUCUUAGUAUUUAUUAGGGUGCUCAAACCCCCGGCGUGAACAUAAGCCUGGAAAAUAAUAAUUCGUGACCAUUGCGGCAACAGGAGUUGUGCUGAGGCAGUGAUUGGUUGGGUUGAACAAUGCCUCUAUUCAUUCUCUAUUGCGCCUUCCUGCAAGCCAUAUUUCUGUCGUGGAUAGCUGUAUUGCCGUAUAGGAGGAUUAGUGUCAUCUCGUGGUUUACUGCAUAUAGAUAUGAGAGUAAAUCCUGGGGCGAGGGCAGUGUUAUGGGGGUUAGUGUGGCUGACAGUGCCUUGGGUGGCAUGUGGGGUGGCACUCAAGGUUCACGUUCACUAUGUGGACACUCGCUUGUCUCCUGAGACGCGAGGCAUUAUCAACUCGGCGUUUUCAACCAUUGCAAGGUUAUUUACCCUCAAGAACACAGAUCCCAAGCCAGUGUUCCACAUCCCUAGGCAGUCAAAUUUCUGUCAAGGUUCAUACAAUGAUGGUUUAAAUUUUGGGAAAUGUGCUCGAAUCUCACAAUAUUAUGUAGGAGACUUGUGUGGGGAUGUUGUGAUACCUCAGGAACAUCUUCUGCCGCAAGGGAAAGGCUUUGAUGACGGCACAAACUUUGUUGUCUAUGUAACUUCUCGAGCCAGCAAUUUGUGCUUGUAUUCUGAGGCACACUCACUGGUGUGUCGCACGGACACUGCGAUGAUUGGUGGGGUACGCAUCGGAAGACCACUUGCUGGAGUUGUUAACUUGUGCGAGGCCAAAAUCAAGUUAGACAAAAUUUUAUUACGAAGAAUAAUUAUUCAUGAAGCUAUUCACCUUCUGGGAUUUAAUUAUAGAAGCAUCCAAGAAUUUAUUGGCUGCUACCCUGAGGACGAGGACGAGGGAGUGUUCCCCAACUGUGAUAUUGGUGAAAGGGAUGGUUCUGAGUUGUUUGGUAGUGAGGAAGAUGAUAGUAUUAUGUGCUGGAAACGGAGAGACGUUCUCAAGGUUAAAAGAAAUGAAGUUGUUCUUCAAUCUAGCCAUAUUGAACUUGCUGCAUUACACAUGGGGUCUUACCCAAGUGAGGAAUAUGACUGCACGAAUGUGAAUACAAGUAACAAUGUGGGCCCCACCAAUUGUUUCCUGGAGCUAAACACAACUGACAUGAGACCUCUUGCUUACAAAAAUUUCAGUGAAAUUUUUGAGGAGUAUGGUGGUAUUGUCUUGGCAAAAACUCGGACUGGCGUUCACUGGUCUAGUGAAAUGUUUACCAACAUUGUUUCUGUAAUGGUUCCUGGUAAUGUGGAAUCAGGAAAGGUAGUCGUCGAUCCACUUACAUUAGCAUUGAUAAAGACUUCGGGAUGGUACAAUAUCAAUCUAUCUUUGCUGUCGUGUAUAAAUUGCUUUUUAAAUAUUGAAUUUGAAUUGGAGGAGUGUUUUAAUCCAAAUGAAAACAAUACUUUACACUUGUCUUUGAUAAAAACUGAUAUACAGGUAUUUGAAAAAGAAAAUAAUACUCAGCAGAAGUGGAACUUUUCAAUUGUCUUAAAUAAUAUCUCUGAAUCAAACCAUCCAAAUAAUUCACGACAAGAAACUAUUAUCCAGAUGGAGAAACACAAUAUUCUUAAGGAAUGUUCAAAGAGGAAAGUGUUUAAAGACAAUUAUCAUAAAUGUCUCCAUUCUGAAGGAACAAAAACUUGCCCAUUGCACAUUUUGAAGACAAUUGUCCAAAUUGUCAUUUCAGUAUUUUUUGUUUUGCAAAGAUAAUAAAGUACGACUUAUGGACAGUAUUAGGUUUAUGUUGCCAAUUUAAUGAAUUUAUUUAAAGUAGAAAUUUAUAGGAAGCAUUAUUCAUGACUAAGUAUAGUUGUAUAAUUCAAGCUUUGAUCAAUGUUAAAAUUGCAACUUUAAUGGUUGAUUAAAGUCUCUAUAUGUGGGUUCUGAAAAUAUCAGUAACACAUACACCAGUGCUUAGAACAAGACCACAAAAAUGCCAUAUAUACGCUAAAAAUAUUUUGAAACAUAAGGUGUCGUAUAGAAUCCACUUUGAAUAAAUGUUAUCAUAAAUUUUCCAUAAAUUAGUUCAUGGUUCUUAAAUUUUUUUUAAUUAUUUUGUUGAUCCUCAGAUUUAAAGGGUUAUGUAUUAUUUGAUUAAUUUUUAUUUACAAGUGGCUGUACAUACCUUUAACUGUACAGUGACACCUAGAAAGGUGCAUUAUGGGUAAUGAAGGGUCUCUACGAAUUACAAUAUUACUGAAAUUGGUAACGUUUGCAAUCUGUGAACGCCAACCCAAGUACUGUAUCUUCAAAUCAAUUGAAAAUGUUUGACACUCGUCAGAUGUGCCAUACACACCAUACUAUAUUGCAUAUUAAUAUUGGACAUUAGCAGUCGGAGGUUUCCGAGGAAUGAGUCGCCGAGUAUGUCUGAUUUCUAAUCCCAACACAUGGGGAGAAGUAAAAGCAAGUCUCUAAAAAAUAUGAAAACCACUGAAAAGUACUGACACACCCUGCUAUCAUGGCCUGCAAUAUCAGACUGUAAUGCACAGUGAUUCCUGAGAAAUGAGCCACAGAACAUUGGGAUACUUGGCAUUCCUGAAUGCUAAUCUCCGGCCAUCCAUGGGGAAAAAAUUUGAGAUCCAGUGGGAUUGGCCCGUGGAAUUUGGCAGCGUGGCAUCACCUCAUCUUCCAGACCUGUGCUGUGCUCUUCAGAACCUUUAGAGAAACUCCCAGAAUCAUCCUCUG
rnacentral:misc_RNA from 1 species